CCAUAGCGACUAUCGUGGCAUAUCAAUAAGCGGAGGAAAAGAAACUAACAAGGAUUCCCUUAGUAACGGCGAGUGAAGCGGGAAGAGCUCAAAUUUGAAAUCUUCAAGGUUUUACCUUGACGAAUUGUAGUUUAAAGAAGUGUUUUCUGUUGGAGUCUUGGUAAAAGUUCUUUGGAAUAGGACAUCAUAGAGGGUGAGAAUCCCGUAUUUGACCAUUAUUUCCAGCUGUGUGAUACACUUUCAAAGAGUCGGAUUGUUUGGGAAUGCAGUCCAAAAUGGGUGGUAAAUUUCAUCUAAAGCUAAAUAUUGGCGAGAGACCGAUAGCGAACAAGUACCGUGAGGGAAAGAUGAAAAGAACUUUGAAAAGAGAGUUAAACAGUACGUGAAAUUGUCAAAAGGGAAGCGUUUGACACCAGUGUUGUUUUUCCGAAAAUCAAUUACGAAUGUUUUAUUUUUGAGAAGUUAUGACUUCAUCGGCUUGCUUCUUUCUUUACGAAACUUUCUUAAUGUACUUUUCGGUUAACAAGUCAACAUCAAUUUCUUUUGUUGUAAAAGGGUAUGAGGAAGGUGGCUUUCUUUUCGGAGAAAGUGUUUAUAGCCUUGUGCCUCUGCAAUCGGAGAGAUCGAGGUCUGCAGCGUAGAUCCUUCGGGGUUAGAUACGUUUGUGCUAAGUUAUAGCUUUUCAUAGACAACUUGUUGACUAUGAUUUAGUCAUUGUAGCUUACUCGCUUACUGCUAUUUUACCUACGCUUAGGAUGUUGAUAUGCAUGACUGAUAU
rnacentral:rRNA from 1 species